rnacentral:lncRNA from 1 species
ACUAACAUUUUAACAUUUUGAUUGUACUAUUCAACAUUUCAAUUUGUGUGAUCUGAGUCAAUCAAAUAUUUUGACUUUAAGAUUUGAAUGAAUCGUUUACCUCUGCAGGUUUAUUUAGUAUAUUAGUUGUAGUUCUCGUAACUAUAAUUUUAUUACAAUAAGUAAUUAUAUUAAAUUUUAAAGUCAAAAUAUUUUUGACUAACUUAAAUUAAACAAAUUAAAAGAUUGAAUAAUAAAAUUAAAAUUUUGAAAAGUUAGGUACCAAUUCAAAAUGGUCUAUAAUUCAAGUAAGUUAUGUAUGUUUUUGCGUUAUAUAUAUAUCAUUUUACCGUUAACCCUCUUAAUAUUUUCUCUCUCUAACUUUGCCUAAUACUUUUUUCCCUUCACACAUAUGUACUGGUUGCAUUCGAUUUGUGCAACCUUAUUAGUAGGGAUGCAUAUGGAUCCGGGGGUGGUGGAGCUCCCGCCCUGAUCCGCCCCGAAUGGGGCAGUAAACGGGAGGAAAUAAACGGAUUUGGGGCAGGAAAUGGGGCAAUUUUUAUAAUCCGUGGCGGAUUCGGGGCAGGAAAUGGGAAAGUUUUUGAUCCGUCCCGAAUCCGUCAUGAUCCGCCCCGAAUGUAUGUCUUUAAAAUUUUUCCAUAUGUAUGUAUUUAAAAUUUUUGAAUUUUGUUGCGAGUUGUCAUUGAUAUUUUUGAUUUUUAUAGUUGAUAUUAUUAAUUAUAUAUAACUUCAUAAUAUUAUCAAUUAAUAUUAAAAAUUUUGUUGAUUUAUAUUUAUAAAAUAUUAAUAAUAUUAUAAUUUGUAAAACAAAUACUAUUUGGCGGGGCCGAUUUGGAGCCUCGGCGGGAGACGGGUUAUAAGGCGGGGCGGAUUAUGAGAUAACUAUUUUCAAUCCGUUACGGAUUCGUGGCGGGAGGCGGGACGGACUUUUUGUAGUCGGGAUGGGAGGCGGGGCGGGGCUCCCGCCCCAGAUCCGCCCCGUUUGCAUCCCUACUUAUUAGGGAAUGUGAACCACAAUUUGAUAUCACGAUCAACACUACAACAGAAUUAGAUUGUAGAGACAUAUGUUUGGAACACUUUUGUGUAAGUGUCCUAUUUAUAUCAAAACAUAAAAAAAAAAAUCUACUAAGGUUUAAAUAUAAAGCCCAAUCCAAUAAAAAAUAAAAGGUUAUUCUACUUAAUCCACCCCACCCAGUCUAUUCGGCCCGAUUACAAACAGAAAAAGGAAAAAAAAAAAAAAACCAUCUCCCCUGAUCUCCUCACUCAAUCCACUGAAACUCUAGACGAAUAGCCCUUCGCUCUCGUCCUCCUCCGCCACCGCAGCCAACAAGGUAAAGUUCCGGCGGUUGCUAAAUACUUAAAUAAGUUUUGGUAAAUUAGCAGUAUUCUUUCUAGAUUAUACCGACACUCUUAAACUGUCACUAUAUACCUAGCGACCCCACAUAUAGCAACAUUUUCUAAAAGUAUUGAUAAUUUAGUCAGCAUUAUUUUUUUUAUAUGUAUCAAUAUUUAAAAAUAUCGCUAUACAUCGUUUUUAUUGUAGUGCAAAAAGCACAAACCAACCUAAAUGCUU